rnacentral:rRNA from 1 species
GACGAACGCUGGCGGCGUGCUUAACACAUGCAAGUCGAACGGACAGGCCCUGCUUUUGUGGGUUGCUCGAGUGGCGAACGGGUGAGUAACACACGAGUAUCCUCCCCUUGACUUUGUGGUAACUUCAGGAAACUGGGGCUCAUACCCCGUAGGAGCUCCUGCUGCAUAGUGGGGGUUGGUGAGUUUCGGCGGUUGGGGAUGGUCUGGCGGCUUAGGAGCUGGGUGGGGGGGUAGUGGCUUACCAAGGCUUUGACGGCUAGCCGGCCUGGGAGGGGGACCGGCCACAUGGGGACUGAGAGACGGCCCAGAAGCCUACGGGAGGCAGUAGGGGGGAAUAUGGCGGAACGGGGGGAAGCGUGAGGCAGAAACGCCGGGUGCGGGAUGACGGCUUUCGGGGUGUAAACAGCUGUGGCCUGUGACGUAGCGGGAGUGACGGUAAUGGGUAAAGAAGCACCGGCUAACUACGUG